CUACGGGCGCUGCAGUAAGGAAUAUUGCGCAAUGGAGGCAACUCUGACGCAGCCAUGCCGCGUGCAGGAAGAAGGCCUUAUGGGUCGUAAACUGCUUUUAUUUAGGAAUAAACCCCCGAACGUGUUCGGGGCUGAAGGUACUAAACGAAUAAGCACCGGCUAACUCCGUGCCAGCAGCCGCGGUAAUACGGAGGGUGCAAGCGUUAUCCGGAUUUAUUGGGUUUAAAGGGUGCGCAGGCGGGCUAUUAAGUCAGUGGUGAAAUCCCGGGGCUCAACUCCGGAACUGCCAUUGAUACUGAUAGUCUUGAGUUUGGUUGAAGUGGGCGGAAUGUAGCAUGUAGCGGUGAAAUGUAUAGAUAUGCUACAGAACACCAAUCGCGAAGGCAGCUCACUAAGCCAAAACUGACGCUCAUGCACGAAAGCGUGGGGAUCAAACAGGAUUAGAUACCCCGGUAGUC
rnacentral:rRNA from 1 species